AUGUGUACACUUUCUCCCAGAGAAGACACUUUCUCCCAGAGAAGACACUCCAGAACAGAGGAAGAGCACAACAUCACUGACGCUUGUCUCCAACUACAUAAAAUGGCUUCUAAAUACAUCACAGAAAUUGAAAUCUCCAUUGACUCUAAAAAGGAAGAACAGCUUCGUGGCCAAGGCUUUCACAUGAUGGAUGUAAACCUCAACCAAGGCAAUUCAUCCACCACCAGAGUUUACAUGUGGUACAAAAAGGGCAAUGAAGAACCCAUCACCAGAGUCCAGUUCUCAUUCAAUGAUGGAAUGAAAGAUGGCCCAAGGAGUGCAGGGUACACUGAGCUCCCAGAAAACAUCAACUCUGGAGCAAAGGGAAAUGUCAUCCAUCUGUGGUACUUUAGUGGUGCAAGCCCUAAGUAUGACAUUCCCAUUGUAGAUCUGCUACUCACCACUAAUGUGAAUGCAGAGGCCGCUCAAUUCAAAUACGGCUGGGAAAGGCUACCAUGUGAUCUGAACCGCGGUAACUCAGGAGAUCACAUCAACCUCUGGGUGAAGAGAGAGAGUGAGACCUACAUCUGUGACGUUGCUGCCACCACCUCAUUCCAAGAAGACAUCAACCUUUUCAACAAGGGCUACAUCCGGAUGGAUGAAGAUCUCAAUAGAGGUGCUGGAGGAAGCUGGAUCUUCCUCUGGUACCGUCAAUCCACUGAUCAGGGCUGCGGGGUCACCAGGGUGAAUGUCUCCAUCAACCAUGAGCAGGAUUUCAGCCUACAGCAGCGUGGUUUCUCCGUGGUGAAUGUUAACCUCAACGAGGGAACAUCCGGUCGGCCAGUGUUUGUCUGGCUCAAGAAAGAUGGAUCUCUCCCUAUCAAGGCCUUGACCAUUACAUCCAACCCCAAGGCAGACGGUCCUUAUGAGGAGGCCGGCUUGGUCUUCAUUGAAAAAAGUCUGAAUUCUGGCAACAACGGUGUGCCCCUCUUCCUCUGGUAUGGCAAGUAAAAACCUGAGGUGGAGAGGCAGUCACAGUAAAAAUGUGCCAGAUGCUAGCUUUUGCAUGGCAAUUUCUCUGUCUAUUUUCUGUUUAAUUUUGUAUUAUCGUUCUGAAAAAAAUUUGUAAUUAAAUUAAACUGAAUGUUAGCUUUUAUGUCAUCAACUCACUGUCAUAGACCAUUUAGAAAUGUUUUAAAGUUGACUUUAAUGUUCUUUCCAAUUAAUUCACAGUUGAAUUAUGGUAUUACAUUUUAGUAUUGUCACAGCCGUCAAAGGAAGUGGACAUGAGCGUACAUAUUCCUUUAUUCAGGUGACGCCAACAAAAACAAUAAACAAAGUUAACUUCCCACACAGAAAGGAGGGAAAAGGGCUACCUAAGUAUGGUUCCCGAUAGACAGCUGUCCCUGAUUGAGAACCAUACCAGGCCAAAACAAAGAAAUACCAAAACAUAGAAAAUAGAACAUAGAAUGCCCACCCAAAUCACCCCCUGACCAAACCAAAAUAGAGACAUAAAAAGCUCUCUACGGUCAGGGUGUGACAAGUAGUACAUUUUAGCAGCAGAUUUAUCUUUUUUCUGACUAUUUCAAGGGCUUAUAAGGUAUUAUAUCUCAUUGUGUCAAAUGUGAUUUAGAAAAAAUGUAGUACAGUAAUAGAAAUAAAAUCAAAUGAUGAAUGAUUUGUGUGUAACACUGAGAAUCCCAGUCUGUUCAUCAAUAAAGAAAGCUUUACAAAUCUGAAUGUUGGACCUUUUUAAAUAACUGCCCAGUCAAAAUCUCACUUUUAAAAGUUCAUUUUCUAUUAACUCAUGUCCAAAUAAUGUUGUUGACUCGUCUUAUACUCGUAUUUGUGGCCAAAGAGUGUGUUUUUAAGACGGUGGGUGUCAAGAGGUCACUAGAGUGGAAGGUCAUGGGACGGUGUAUUAAGGGGUAGGGUGUGCCCCUAGACACUGAUCUUGAGUCAGUUUUGCACUUACGAUUGGGGAAGGGGAAGCUGAUCCUAGAUCUGUAGCUAGGGGAAACUUCACAACUUCAGCAAAAUGACCCCCUCUAUCAGGAGGAUGGUGGGGUCAUAUGCUGGUUGGAGUGGGAUACAGGGGUGCAGGGAAUGGUGGUUAGAAGCACUUCCUGUGGACGAUGGAAGCUCUAGCCUCCUUGUAUUCCUCCUUACUGAUCCACAUUCGCUGGAAGGUGGACAGGGAGGAAAGAUGGAUCCACCGACCAAGACUGAGCCCUUAUUCUCAGGGGGGUCAAUCAUCUACACGAGGGGGAGGUUUAGAGAGCAGAGUUCCAUAUGUUUGAAAGUUCUCUCUAUUUUACAUGUCCUUUCUUCAGUUUCAUUCUUUCAUGUAGUUUUGUAAUCAUAAGAAAUAGCUCAAAUGUCAGGUCCUGUGCCCCCCCCCCCCCGUGUGUGUGUGUAUCGUAGGCCUGUUCCCAGCCAUUUACCUUGAUUUUAACGGUGCUGGAGACCAGGGUGCAUGGUGGUACCACCAGAUAGAAUAUUGUUGGAGUACAGGUCCUUACGAAUGUCAGUGUCACUUCAUGAUGCUGUUGUAUGUGGUCUCAUGAAUGCCACUGACUUCAUACCUGGGAGGGGGCGGCACAGCUUCCUUAUUUCAACACCAUACCCACCACCGGUUUGCGUGGCCAAGGAGAUAGAUUUUAAUGUUAUCUGACCGUAACUCCGGUUCCAGUCCAAGUACCAAUGCCGUUUAGCAAAAUCCCUGUCAGCAAACGCUCUUGUAUGACAUGAAAUAAAUCUCUUUGUUCACGCACACCAGUGGUGGAUUUGAUGUUGAAAGAAAGAUGCAUAAACAGAAAAUAACCCCCUACUGUAAAGAAAUGGUGGUGGAUCAAUAUGUUUUGGGGCUAUUCUGCUUCCACUGGUUUUGUGCUCUGGGCAAUUCCAUUGUUCCUUCUCAAGCCAAACAAAUGUUAAGGAGUUGGCAUGAUGGCACAGACCGUCACUCAGGCUACAUAUUUCCUAGUGCAGAGCGGUAAUAAACACACUUGUUAUUAGUAUGACAUUCUCCAUGCUAAAUAUGAAACAGCUAGUAGGUUUUUCUGACCAUGCAACUUGACCAGGACAAAGUCUAGGUUCCAGUUAUAUCCUAUUACUAGGGUCCAGAUAGACCCUAUUACUAGGGUCCAGUUAUAUCCUAUUACUAGGGUCCAGAUAGACCCUAUUACUAGGGUAAAGUUAUAUCCUAUUACUAGGGUCCAGAUAGACCCUAUUACUAGGGUCCAGUUAUAUCCUAUUACUAGGGUCCAGAUAGACCCUAUUACUAGGGUCCAGUUAUAUCCUAUUACUAGGGUCCAGAUAGACCCUAUUACUAGGGUCCAGAUAGACCCUAUUACUAGGGUCCAGAUAGACCCUAUUACUAGGGUCCAGAUAGAUCCUAUUACUAGGGUCCAGAUAGAUCCUAUUACUAGGGUCCAGAUAGAUCUUAUUACUAGGGGCCAGUUAGAUCCUAUUACUAGGGGCCAGUUAGAUCCUAUUACUAGGGGCCAGUUAGAUCCUAUUACUAGGGGCCAGUUAGAUCAUAUUACUAGGGUGCAGAUAGAUCCUAUUACUAGGGGCCAGUUAGAUCAUAUUACUAGGGCCCAGUUAGAUCAUAUUACUAGGGUCCAGAUCAGUAUUUCCUUAUCAGGACACGUGGUCAGAUAAAACUCCUGGCCCUACAUUAUGUUGAAUAUCUUUGCUGAAGGAGAGAAGGGAAAAAAAACACCCCCUGAUGUGAAAUGAGAUGCAUACAAUUGGGAGUUUUAGUGCAUAGCUUUGAAUGCAGCAGUCUUGUAUAACUAAGCUUGUGGGGCCAAAGAAUUCAGUCCCAUUCAAAAUCCUAUUUUCCCUAACCCUACCACUAAUUCUAACCUUAACCCUAAACCCCCUAGAAAUAGCAUUUGCCCUUGUGGGGACAAACAAAAUGUCCCCAGUUGGUGAAAUCUUUGUUGUUCGUUUACUAUUUCUGUGGGGACUUCACGUCCACACACAUCAAAAACAGGUAACUUGAGUCGUGUUUUUCAAACAGAUUUAUUAAAAUUCCUUUCUUCGUGAAAGUCAACCUCAAGGUAUUGAACCCAUUAAUGCCUGGAUAGGAUAGUAAUUGCUGUCCAAACGAUUUGACUUCUAAAAAAUAGAGCCUAUUUAGAAAAUAUGACAAUUCGGUUUCACUCAGUAGCAUUUCCUCUUAUAAAUAGAUGUAUUUUGUCAUCCUUUCCUCAAUCACAACAUAUAUACAGACAAUCAGGACCACAACACCAACGUUAGAACAGGGUGGUAUCCAUUAUCUUUGUAUCUGUGCCAUUACAGCGUCUGACAGCAUGGGCAGUGCCAUUGAAGUAGUCAAUCUUCUUCUUCACGAUUAGCUGAUCCCUCCUAAUGACCCGGUUGGACAUGACUCCAACAGGGUCACCAGGAGGGAUCAGCCAAUGAAGUUGGAAGUCCAACCCAGUUGACUACAUUAAAAUGGUGGAAGCCCUCAAUGGCGGUGCCCAUGCUAAUUCAGCCUUUUGGCCACUAGAGGCCUCUAUCAUUCUCUAUGGUGGUAUCCCACAAAGCAGGAGCAAUGUUUUUAGCUCAGCUGGCUAACUACCGUAAAUAUUCUGAAACACCAGAUUUCCUAUCCUGGUCCCAAAUCUGUUUGUGUUCUGGCCAACUCCAUUGCUCAUUGUCAAGCCAAACGUGUUUGGUAUAACAAUGAGUGAGAAAGAGUUGGCAUGAUGGCACAAACAAACAGCUUGUCACUCAGGCUUCAUAUUUCCUAGUGCAGAGAGGUAAAACACACUUGUUAUAAGUAUGACAUUCUCUCAGUACUUCCCAUGC
ensembl:lncRNA